UUCUUUUGUUCUCACUGCACUCCCUCUCCUCCCAUCUCAGCGAUUUCUGUUCGGUAUUCAUCUUGAGCCGACGUCAUCACUAGCGUGGUGCUUCAAUCGAUUUCUCAAGUUUGAGACUUUGUGCAUGUGCAUUAGAAACAUUCAAAGGCAAUAGGCAGUACAACCUCAUUAAAAUUGGGCACUUAUGCUCAAAAUAUGUGAUCCAUAUGGAGGAAUGUGUUAAAUGGUUAGAACAUGGAGAAGACUGUAAAAGUACUUGGGCUCCCUCCCCUUUGUGAACUAGAUAACUUCAUUUGAUUACUAUUAGUUGUUAGUUCAGUUAGAAAGCAAUUGAUAAUUGUUAUACAACUUGAUCGAA